UCGGGAAUUUUGGGCAAUGGGCGAAAGCCUGAUCCAGCCAUGCCGCGUGAGUGACGAAGGCCUUAGGGUUGUAAAACUCUUUCGUCGGGGACGAUAAUGACGGUACCCGAAGAAGAAGCUCCGGCUAACUUCGUGCCAGCAGCCGCGGUAAUACGAAGGGAGCUAGCGUUGUUCGGAAUCACUGGGCGUAAAGCGCACGUAGGCGGAUAGUUAAGUCAGAGGUGAAAUCCCGGAGCUCAACUUCGGAACUGCCUUUGAUACUGGCAAUCUAGAGUCCGGAAGAGGUUAGUGGAAUUCCCAGUGUAGAGGUGAAAUUCGUAGAUAUUGGGAAGAACACCAGUGGCGAAGGCGGCUAACUGGUCCGGUACUGACGCUGAGGUGCGAAAGCGUGGGGAGCAAACGGGAUUAGAUACCCAAGUAGUCCCUGAGCGGGCUGGCAAGGCGCAU
rnacentral:rRNA from 1 species